ensembl:ncRNA F46A9.10 ncRNA
CUAUCACCCGCUCUCCAAGGGCGACGGGGAGUGUUGAGCGUUUUCAUUGCAUCCAUGGACCUUAUUAAAGUGUUAGAUUUCAGCCAUCAUGUUCCAACAAAACAAAUCUCUGUUGCGGAACUUUCAAA